CAGUAGCCGCGGGAAUACGAAGGGUGCAAGCGUUACUCGGAAUUACUGGGCGUAAAGCGUGUGUAGGUGGUUGUUUAAGUCUGUCGUGAAAGCCCUGGGCUCAACCUGGGGACUGCGAUGGAUACUGGGCGACUAGAGUGCGGUAGAGGAUAGUGGAAUUUCCGGUGUAGCAGUGAAAUGCGUAGAGAUCGGAAGGAACAUCUGUGGCGAAGGCGACUAUCUGGGCCAACACUGACACUGAGGCACGAAAGCGUGGGGAGCAAACAGGAUUAGAUACCCCCGUAGUCCCUGUCUCUUAUAA
rnacentral:rRNA from 1 species